rnacentral:lncRNA from 1 species
CGCAAGAGUCACGGUCAGUUGCGCCUCUGCUUCGGAAGAGUAUUUUUAGUGGCAAAUAAAGUGGUGCGCAAAUAAACAAACGCCUGGAACAAAUCCUGCAAAGGAGAGCGCCUGUGUGCGGCCCACUGUCUAACUAGGUCAGCCUCGGGCACAGCUCCUUUUGACAGUUUGCUCCCCAGGGCGGAAGGUGACCCGCAGGUGCCGGCUGCUUUCCCCACCAAUCAGCCAUCUGUGGUUUGAGACUCACAAGCUUAGGAGAGACUCGGGAGGCAUCAGUUCCGCAUCCCGCACUCCCACGUGAAUUUGCCCCCGCCCUGAGUCAGAACCCUAGAGGGGUGAAAUCCCUGAAUUCUGCAGAGGAAACCCAUACUUCUUUGCUUUUUCAGCAAUUCCAGGAGAUGUCGUUUUUCAAGUGGCAAAUGUGUGGCUCUAGAGGACAGAGUAACCACCUUGCAGCCAAGAAGCCCUGAUGUCAACUCCCAGCUCUGCUGCAGCACCCAGAAAUCACCGGACCUUUCUGCAUCUUUCUGGGUGACUCUGUCAUGAGGAUUUCAUAAUGUAAUUCCCUAGCACAUAAGAAUUUCUCAACCAAUAUGGCUUUCUUUUUUCCUUCUCACUAGUCUUUGAGCUUCUUAAAGGGAAGACAUGUCCUAUUCAUCUCUACACCCCCCACACCAGUCUGCAUUCAGUAAGUGCUCAAUCAAUGUCUGCUGAAUCACAUCUUCCCACUCAACUGCAUGGCCUCGGAUGAUCCAAUUCUGUGGGACUCAGGGUCUCCCUGAUUCUGAAGAUCUCCAUUUCAGCCACCCCAUCCUGGUGCUUUUUCUGGAGAGACUGGGAAAAAGGAGACAGAAGAAUCCACUCUAGCUGAGACUCCAGAUUGCCUGGGCUGUAAUUUACGGUGCUAUCACAAAGGGGUCCUUUUUCCGCAUGGUGCUCUGCGGUGAUGAGCCAGAAGCUGAAGCUGAGGGGUCUUAUUGGCUGUGCAAACUUGAGGGAGUUGCCUAACCACUCUGGGCCCUGUUUUCCUGGCUUUGCCACUCUUCAGCUGUGUGACCCGGGGAAGCUCUCAACCUCUUUGUGCCUCCAUUUCCACAUCUGUAAAAUGGGGAUAUGAAAGUGGCUGCUUUGUGAAGAGUCCUGAGAAUAAAUGAGUUAAGUUUCCAUGAAUCAGGAAUCCAGGAGUGGUGUAAGUUUCUCAGGAAGUUGCAGUCAAGACAUUGGCCAGGUCUGUGAUCAUCUGAAGGCUUGACUGGGGCUGACAGAUCCACCUCCAAGUUGGUUCACUCCCAUGGUGCAGACUGCUGGCAGAAGAACUCAAUGUCUCCCACAUGGGCCCCUCAACAGGCUGCUUGAGUAUGUUCAGAGCAUGGUGGCUGGCCUCCCUCCAAGUGAGCAGUCCAAGACCUAUUCUGGGACGUCAUACACCAACACUUUUGCCACAUUCUACUCCUUAGAAGCAAGUCCCUAAGCAAAGCUCAUACUCCACGGGAGGGAAACCAGGCUCCACCUCUUGAAGGGAGGGGCACCAAAUAAUUUGCAAGUAUAUUUCAAAACCACUGCAGGUCACAUGGUGCAGAAAGACAGAAGCAGAGCAGAAGAAUAUUAAAACCUAUUGAAUUUACAACAGCAAGAAUAAAAUACAUGAUUGUUGGAACAUUUAGAGCUCCUUUCUCUCUAUUGUCUGCCCAGGAAAACUGAUAUGGAUAAAUAUGGAAGAGAGCUGGCCAGUGGAUGAAAUGGUGAUGUAAAGGUGAGCUUUGCGGAAGAGUGGAGAAAAGAGAUUGGCACUGAAGUGGGCAGUGAAAGAGCAAGAGGCUUGUGGGAGACUUGAUUUCAGAGGCAGCGUUUGGAUGGUUAUGAACAGGCUUUCCUCUUCUUUCAGGGGUACCGUAAAGAUCAGAAUUAAUAGUAUGACUAUUUGGUUUGGAGGCUGUUUCAUUAAGUAUUACACUGUGGAGAGACUGGAUCACAUGGGUCAUAUUAUUUAUUCAGGUUACAUUCACACUCCCUGUGAAUUCCCACCCUAUGCAAACUGGCAAGAAAACGCUAUUUUAAAAGAUUCUUGAACGCUUUUGUAUCUUUCUUAAGACUUUUGUAUACAGCACUGUUCACAUAGUAGGUAGUCAAAAUUAGUGAGAAAGACUCAAGCAAAAAGUUUAUUUGGAUUUCCAUAUGAUUUAUAAGCCAAGACGCUAUAAUCCAAAGAGGCAGGAAAAUGAUGUAAACUAGAAAUAAAAAUAUUUGUAAGUGACAAUGUGUCCUGAAUUCUUUGACAGGUUAAGAGAAAUAAAAGCAGGAGACGAGGAGAGAGUCACACCACGGCUCUGCAGCCCACACCACCUUGGAACCAAACAGGGAGGUGGCAGAACUGAUGGGCUGGCCGCACCACCUUAAAUCUCUUAGCUCCAAAACUGGAGGUGCUCAUCAGGACCCUGCAUCAUUUCUGUGGGUGAUGGAUGGUGUGAGGUAAGGCACAGAGAUCUAGACUUAUUUCUCCUUCCACAACAAUUGUUUCUUGGAAGAGGAAGAAAACUUAGCUGGAUUUUAUCUCUUUGUGUGGAUUUCUGGGGUAGACACCCAGAGGUGUGUGCAGGAGCAUGCUCUUUGGGGCCCACAUAGAGAUUCCAGCAGGUGCUGGAGAUUCUGGGGUAGCCUUUCCAUGACUGCUGGCCUCUUUUCCCCUGUGUUGCUUUGGUUUGCUGUCUGGCUAAAGGCAGGAGUGGGAGAAACUCACAUUCCACAAGAGGCUGCCUGGAGCAGAGGCCAAGAGGGUAAGGUUUGUCCAAGGCCUUCCAUCUCAGCUUUGCUGCCAAUUUGUCAGAAAAAAAAUCAUUUGUGCCAAUUAGACCCUGGUUAGGAAAGUGUUGUCCUGUCUGGGAAGCAGGUACAGAAACCAGUUGCAAGGACAGGAGAUCAAUGAAAGUGACACAUUACUUAUGCCUCCAAUUCUUCUCAGCCCUCAAUUUAGUCUCUGAGACACAGAGAAAAUAAGUGUACUUGCCUUGCUAAUGGGUACAUGGUUGGCUUUGGGCAAUUUAUAUAGAGCACUUUAGUUCCAAGAUGAAAUGCACUGAGAUAUUAGGAUUAGUCUCUGCUUUAAUGAGUUUCUGACUUGCAGGUUUGAAAAAAUUUAGUUCUUUUCUGUAUUUCUCUACAAACACAAAACAAUGAUUUAAUGGUAAAACAACAAUGAAAAGAAACUAGGCCAUUCUCUCCAAAAUGAUUAAAAGGGUACUUCUCCUGACCUGACAUAACCUUUCCUCAUAUGAAUUUAUUAUCUGUAUUCACACUCAUAUUCCACUGGAAUGCCUUGGGUCCAGGUGGAUGGUUGCUUAUGGUUAGUAUCGAUUCUGAGCAGGUAGGCAUUCAUACUGUUUGGUUGACGCCUGUGGUGAACAGACCUUAAGGUGACUUCUUGCACCCCUGAGUCAUUUUCUUGUAUAAUCUCCUCUCUUUGAGGACACAAACUGUGCCCUGCUUCAAACCAGUGGAAUAGAGACAAGGUGAUGAGAUCUUUGGUUAUUGCACCUAACUGCUUCAUUCAUUGCACAAUUAGUCACACGCUGUUUUGUGAUGCAGAACAUUUUUUUUUAAGAGAUGGUAGUCUCACUCUGACACCCAGGUUGGAGUGCAGUGACAUGAUCAGAGCUCACUGCAGCCUCAAACUCCUGGGCUCAAGGGAUCCUCCUGCCUCAGCCUCCUGAGUAGCUGGGACUAGAGGUGCGUGCCACCACACCCAGCUAUUUUUUAUUUUUUGUAGAAAUGGAGUCUCACUUUGUGGCCCAAGCUGGUCUCCAACUCCUGGGCUCAAGUGAUCCUCCCACCUUGGCUUAUCAAAUUGCUGGGAUCACAGGUUUGAGCCACCGUGCUUGGACUGUGAUGCAAAAUUUUAUCUAAACCUUGUAUUGUUGACUAUAGCAUCAUGCACUUACUAUUUUCCCUCUUAACUAGAUUUUAAGUCUCUUGAGGGCAAGAACUCUGUUCUUGAAGAUUUUCAGAAGCCCGAUAGCAUAUGGAAGUACUUGACACACAAUAAGUACACAGUCAUAUGUGAUUUGGUUUCUGAGCCUUCAUUUGUCCAACAAAACCAGAUGGGUCUUAGAUGAAGAUAUACGUGGCAAACACUGCAUGCCUACUGUGGGUCAGGUUAGCUCCCAGACAUGCAGAAAACAAAAGCUCUGUCCUCAGGAGUUCAUGAUGGUUCAACCCAAUCAACGAAGUCUUGCAAUCUCACUUCCUCCUUACCUUGUAGAGUUGGAAGAUAUCCAAAUAUUCCUAGAGUUCUUUGUCAAUCUGUCAGGAUUAUAAUUCCACAGAUCAGGCAGAGUGUAACCAUGAAGCUCUUCAGUGAAUUUUUAGUGACUUUUGGGUGAUUUUUUAGUUUCCAAGUAGAAGAAGCAAAAGACCCUUGUGGUGGUUACCUUCCAUCUAAACAGAGAGUGAGCUACAAAGAUACUGCUGUCCCUCAGUGGCCCAUGGGUGUCCCUGCAAAUCUGUGACUCAAGUGGCCAUAUUCAUAUUAAGCAGACCAGAGAUCAAAACCAUAUUAGGCAUGAACCACUUUUUAUUCAUAGGCUUACCGAAUAUAU